rnacentral:rRNA from 1 species
GAUAGCGGCCAUACCACGCUGAAAAUACCGGUUCUCGUCCGAUCACCGAAGUGAAACGGCGUAGGGCCCGGUCAGUACUUGGGACGGAGACGACCUGGGAAUACCGGGUGCUGCUAUCA